ensembl:lncRNA
GAGGACCUUUAGGAUCAUGGAACCACGGGAUCCUACAAUGGUUGGGGUGGAAGGGACCUUGAAGACUGCAACACCACGGGAUCCUACAAGGGUUGGGGGGGGAGGACCUUUAGGAUUAUGGAACCAUGGGAUCCUACAAUGGUUGGGGUGGAAGGGACCUUAAAGACCAUAACACCAUGGGAUCCUAAAAGGGUUGGGAUGGGCGGACCUUUAGGAUCAUGGCACUGUGGGAUCCCACAAGGUUUGUGUUUUAAAGACGAUACAACCAUGAGAUCCUACAGUGGUUGGGUUGGGAGGAAUCUUUAGGAUCAUGGAACCACGGGGUCCUACAAUGGUUAGGGUGGAAGGGUCCUGAAAGAUCAUCACACCAUGGGAUCCUACAAGGGUUGGGAUGGAGAGGACCUAUAGGAUCGUGGAAACACGGGAUCCUACAAUGGUUGUGGUGGGGGGGAUCUUAGAUAAUAACACCGCGGGAUCCUACAAUGGUUGGGGUAGGAGGACCUUUAGGAUCAUGGAACCAUGAGUUCCCACAAGUGUUGGGGUGGAGAGGACCUUUAGGAUUAUGGAACCAUGAGAUCCCACAAGGGUUGGUGUGGAAGGGAUCUCAAAGUCCAUAACACCAUGGGAUCCUAGAAGGGUUGGGCUGGAGCGGACCUUUAGGAUCAUGGCACAGUGGGAUCCCGCAAGGUUUGGGUUUUAGGGAUCUCAAAGACCACAGAACUGUGGGAUCCUACAACGGUUGGGAUGGAGAGGACCUGUAGGAUUGUGGAACCAUGGGAUCCUACAAUGGUUGGGGUGGAAGGGACCUUAAAGAUCAUAACACGACGGGAUCCUACAGUGGUUGGGACGGAGAGGACCUAUAGGAUCGUGGAAGCACGGGAUCCUACAAUGGUUGGGGUGGAGAGGACCUUUAGGAUUAUGGAACCAUGUGAUCCUACAAGGGUUGGGGUGGGAGGACCUGUAGGAUCCUGGAACCAUGGGAUCCUAAAAUGGUUGGGGUGGAGGGGAUCUCAAAGACCAUAAAACCAUGGGAUCCUACAAGGGUUGGGAUGGGAGGACCUUUCGGAUCAUGGCACUGUGGGAUCCCAAAAGGUUUGGGUUUUAAAGACCAUACAACCAUGAGAUCCUACAGUGGUUGGGUUGGGAGGAAUCUUUAGGAUCAUGGAACCAUGAGAUCCUUCAAUGGUUGGGUGUAAGGGACCUUAAAGAUCUUAACACCACGGGAUCCUACAAGGGUUGGGUUGGAGAGGACCUUUAGGAUCAUGGAACCACGGAAUCCUACAAUGGUUGGGGUGGAAAGGACCUUAAAGAUCAAAACACCACGGGAUCCUACAAGGGUUGGGUUGGAGAGGACCUUUAGGAUCAUGGCUAUGUGGGAUCCCACAAGGGUUGCGUUUUAGGGAUCUCAAAGGCCACAGAACUGUGGGAUCCUACAACGGAUGGGAUGGAGUGGACCUGUAGGAUCGUGGAACCACGGGAUCCCACAAUGGUUGGGGUGGAGGGGACCUUAAAGAUCAUAACACCACAGGAUCCUAAAAUGGUUGGGAUGGAGAGGACCUGUAGGAUCAUGGAAACACGGGAUCCUACAAUGGUUGGGGUGGAAGGGAUCUCAAAGACCAUAACACCACAGGAUCCUACAAGGGUUGGGAUGGGAGGACCUUUAGGAUCAUGGCACUGUGGGAUCCCAAAAGGUUUGGGUUUUAAAGACCAUACAACCAUGAGAUCCUACAGUGGUUGGGUUGGGAGGAAUCUUUAGGAUCAUGGAACCAUGGGAUCCUACAAUGGUUGGGGUGGAGAGGAUAUUUAGGAUCAUAACACCACGGGGUCCUAAAAUGAUUGGGGUGGAAGGGACCUUGAAGACCACAACACCACAGGAUCCUAAAAGGGAUGGGAUGGGAGGACCUUUAGGAUCAUGGAACCAUGGGAUCCUGAAAGGGUUGGGGUGGAGAGGAUAUUUAGGAUCAUGGAACCACGGGAUCCUACAAUGGUUGGGGUGGAAGGGACCUUGAAGACCGCAACACCACAGGAUCCUAAAAGGGUUGGGGUGGAGAGGACAUUUAGGAUCAUGGCACUGUGGGAUCCCACAAGGUUUUGGUUUUAAAGACCAUACAACCAUGAGAUCCUACAAUGGUUGGGCUGGGAGGAAUCUUUAG